rnacentral:rRNA from 1 species
UAUUGGGCGUAAAGAGCUCGUAGGCGGUUUGUCACGUCUGCUGUGAAAACCCGAGGCUCAACCUCGGGCUUGCAGUGGGUACGGGCAGACUAGAGUGCGGUAGGGGAGAUUGGAAUUCCUGGUGUAGCGGUGGAAUGCGCAGAUAUCAGGAGGAACACUGAUGGCGAAGGCAGAUCUCUGGGCCGUAACUGACGCUGAGGAGCGAAAGCAUGGGGAGCAAACAGGCUUAGAUACCCUGGUAGUCCAUGCCGUAAACGUUGGGAACUAGAUGUGGGGACCAUUCCACGGUCUCCGUGUCGUAGCUAACGCAUUAAGUUCCCCGCCUGGGGAGUACGGCCGCAAGGCUAAAACUCAAAGGAAUUGACGGGGGCCCGCACAAGCGGCGGAGCAUGCGGAUUAAUUCGAUGCAACGCGAAGAACCUUACCAAGGCUUGACAUAUACGAGAACGCACUGGAGACAGUGAACUCUUUGGACACUCGUAUACAGGUGGUGCAUGGUUGUCGUCAGCUCGUGUCGUGAGAUGUUGGGUUAAGUCCCGCAACGAGCGCAACCCUCGUCCUAUGUUGCCAGCACGUAAUGGUGGGAACUCAUGGGAUACUGCCGGGGUCAACUCGGAGGAAGGUGGGGAUGAGGUCAAAUCAUCAUGCCCCUUAUGUCUUGGGCUUCACGCAUGCUACAAUGGCCGGUACAAUGGGCUGCGAUACCGCAAGGUGGAGCGAAUCCCAAAAAGCCGGUCUCAGUUCGGAUUGAGGUCUGCAACUCGACCUCAUGAAGUCGGAGUCGCUAGUAAUCGUAGAUCAGCAACGCUACGGUGAAUACGUUCCCGGGCCUUGUACACACCGCCCGUCAAGUCAUGAAAGUCGGUAACACCCGAAGCCAG